UACGUAGGGUGCGAGCGUUAAUCGGAAUUACUGGGCGUAAAGCGUGCGCAGGCGGUGAUGUAAGACCGAUGUGAAAUCCCCGGGCUUAACCUGGGAACUGCAUUGGUGACUGCAUCGCUCGAGUAUGGCAGAGGGGGAUGGAAUUCCGCGUGUAGCAGUGAAAUGCGUAGAUAUGCGGAGGAACACCGAUGGCGAAGGCAAUCCCCUGGGCCUGCACUGACGCUCAUGCACGAAAGCGUGGGGAGCAAACAGG
rnacentral:rRNA from 1 species